rnacentral:piRNA from 1 species
UGUCAAUAAGGCGAGUGACGUCAACCCG